AUUGAACGCUGGCGGCAGGCCUAACACAUGCAAGUCGAGCGAGCGGCGGACGGGUGAGUAAUGUCUGGGGAACUGCCCGAUAGAGGGGGAUAACUACUGGAAACGGUAGCUAAUACCGCAUACCAUCGGAUGUGCCCAGAUGGGAUUAGCUAGUAGGUGGGGUAACGGCUCACCUAGGCGACGAUCCCUAGCUGGUCUGAGAGGAUGACCAGCCACACUGGAACUGAGACACGGCCCAGACUCCUACGGGAGGCAGCAGUGGGGAAUAUUGCACAAUGGGCGAAAGCCUGAUGCAGACAAGCCGCGUGUAUGAAGAAGGCCUUAGGGUUGUAAAGUACUUUCAGCGGGGAGGCGUUACUCGAAGAAGAAGCACCGGCUAACUCCGUGCCAGCAGCCGCGGUAAUAC
rnacentral:rRNA from 1 species